rnacentral:lncRNA from 1 species
UUGUCAUUUAUAUACAUAUGUACAUAUAUGUAUAUAUUUUUAUAUAAACACCUAGGUAAAUAAAAAUUGCGCAAAUUAACGCAAAAUAAUUUGAAAACGAAAGUGUCAUUGAAAAGUUUUUGAUAUCUACUCAAAAUUACACCGAAGCUGGUUAGACCUGUUCCUACAUCUAUGGAGUUUCAUCUAGACAGUGCAGAAUACUGCCAAGCACAGCACAAAUAAAAAGGAAAAGAGUUUGCAAAACAGCGAAAGAAACGUAAAAAGGACGAGAGUUGGAACUUGUUGGAAGCGCGUCCAGUUGGGAGACAGUUAGACAGGAGAUAGCAGUGAUAGCGCGCGGUACGAGAAAGCAAGCGAGAUUUAGCGUAGAAACAAUUUUCGAAUUUUCUUUAAAACAACAAACUAAUUGGAUUUUCAAACAAGUGUUUACUGAGGCAGUAAGAAAGAGAGAAAGCUACUACAAAAAGCGCGCAUAUCAGAAGAAUUGGUAUAUACAAUUUCGGUUUUAGCUAAAACAAACAAACAAAACAAGCAAAAGAAAGCAAAAAGCAACGAAAAGAGCAGAUUAAUUGACAGAAUUAUCGCGAAAUUAAAUUGUAUAAUUUAAGAGUAAUUGUUGUACAAUUAAAGAGUAAUUGCUAUACAAUUGAAGAGUAAUUAAACUACAACUACUAAAAAGUCAACAGGGAUUUCGUAACGGCUGAAAAUCAGGCAGGUUUUGUGCAAACAAACAACAACAAAAAAGCAAG